rnacentral:rRNA from 1 species
UACGUAGGGUGCGAGCGUUGUCCGGAAUUAUUGGGCGUAAAGAGCUCGUAGGCGGUUUGUCACGUCGGAUGUGAAACCCCGGGGCUUAACUCCGGGCCUGCAUUCGAUACGGGCUGACUAGAGUUCGGCAGGGGAGACUGGAAUUCCUGGUGUAGCGGUGAAAUGCGCAGAUAUCAGGAAGAACACCAAUGGCGAAGGCAGCUCUCUGGGACGGUACUGACGCUGAGACGCGAAAGCGUGGGGAGCGAACAGG